GGGACGGCGCCGCGGGAACCGGGGAGCCCGGAGCCCCGGCGGGGGUGGCUCCGGCGGCUCGCUUUGCUCCGUUAUCAGGGGACACUUUCCAUAGACCGGGUCCGCCCCGUCCCGUCCGUCCUGGCCCUGGACACUGAACCUGCUGUGCCCGCUCGGUGAUUCCCCAGCGCGCACCGGAGAACGUGACUGCAUCCGUGGAACCCUCCUGGAACGGUCCCGGGGCGCUUUUGAUGCCUUUCCCCGAACGUCAGUGUGAAUAGAAGGAAUGAAGGAAGGGGUGAAUGAAGGAAUUCUGGUUAAGAUGAAAUCACGCACCAGCGUCUGGUUCUGCUGUCGGAUUCCAAACUGUUCUGUCCUGAGGCUGAUAGAAAUGUACAGGUUUUGUUCAAAAUC